GUUUUAAUAGUUUAAUAAAAACAUUGAUUUUGUAAAUCAAAAAUAGAUUAAAACUUUAAAACU
rnacentral:tRNA from 1 species